GACGAACGCCGGCGGCGUGCUUAACACAUGCAAGUCGAACGGAAAGGCCUGCUUUCCCUUGUGGAUUGCGGGUACUCGAGUGGCGAACGGGUGAGUAACACGUGAGUGAUCUGCCCCCAACUUGGGUAUAAGCCUGGGAAACUGGGUCUAAUUCCCGAUAGGACUGCAGGGUGGUGCCUGUGGUGGAAAACGAUUUUCUAGUGGUUGGGGAUGAGCUCGCGGCCUAUCAGCUUGUUGGUGGGGUAAUGGCCUACCAAGGCGGCGACGGGUAGCCGGCCUGAGAGGGUGGACGGCCACAUUGGGACUGAGACACGGCCCAGACGGCUACGGGAGGCAGCAGUGGGGAAUAUUGCACAAUGGGCGGAAGCCAGAUGCAGCGACGCCGCGUGGGGGAUGACGGCCUUCGGGUUGUAAACUCCUUUCGACCGCGAGGAAGCCACCUGGUUGGAAGGGUGGUGACGGUAGUGGUAGAAGAAGCACCGGCUAACUACGUG
rnacentral:rRNA from 1 species